UACGGAGGAUGCAAGCGUUAUCCGGAAUUAUUGGGCGUAAAGCGUCCGUAGGUGGCUAAUCAAGUCUGCCGUCAAAGCGUGGAGCUUAACUCCAUACCGGCGGUGGAAACUGAUGAGCUAGAGUGCGAUAGGGGUAGCAGGAAUUCCCAGUGUAGCGGUGAAAUGCGUAGAGAUUGGGAAGAACACCAGCGGCGAAAGCGUGCUACUGGGUCUGCACUGACACUGAGGGACGAAAGCUAGGGGAGCGAAAGGG
rnacentral:rRNA from 1 species